GCUGGGUGCAGUGGUGCAUGCCUGUAAUCUCAGCAGCUCAGGAGGCUGAGGCAGAGGGAUGGUGAGUUCAAAGCCAGCCUCAGCAACUUAGUGAGGCCCUAUGAAACUUAGCAAGACCCUGUCUCUA
rnacentral:sRNA from 1 species